UACGGAGGGUGCAAGCAUUAAUCGGAAUUAUUGGGCGUAAAGGGCGCGUAGGCGGAUUUGUAAGUCGAAUGUGAAAUUCCAAAGCUCAACUUUGGAGCUGCAUUUGAAACUACAAAUCUCAGAGGGGUAGCGGAGAAAGCGGAAUUCCACGAGUAGCGGUGAAAUGCGUAGAUAUGUGGAAGAACACCUGUGGCGAAAGCGGCUUUCUAGGAACCACCUGACGCUGAGGCGCGAGAGCAAGGGGAGCAAACAGG
rnacentral:rRNA from 1 species